rnacentral:rRNA from 1 species
AUUGAACGCUGGCGGCAUGCCUUACACAUGCAAGUCGAACGGUAACAGGUCUUCGGAUGCUGACGAGUGGCGAACGGGUGAGUAAUACAUCGGAACGUGCCCGAGAGUGGGGGGUAACGAGGCGAAAGCUUUGCUAAUACCGCAUACGAUCUCAGGAUGAAAGCAGGGGACCGCAAGGCCUUGCGCUCACGGAGCGGCCGAUGGCAGAUUAGGUAGUUGGUGGGAUAAAAGCUUACCAAGCCGACGAUCUGUAGCUGGUCUGAGAGGACGACCAGCCACACUGGGACUGAGACACGGCCCAGACUCCUACGGGAGGCAGCAGUGGGGAAUUUUGGACAAUGGGCGCAAGCCUGAUCCAGCCAUGCCGCGUGCGGGAUGAAGGCCUUCGGGUUGUAAACUGCUUUUGUACGGAACGAAAAGACUCUGGUUAAUACCUGGGGUCCAUGACGGUACCGUAAGAAUAAGCACCGGCUAACUACGUGCCAGCCGCCGCCGUAACAC